rfam:Ovis aries breed Texel chromosome 14, whole genome shotgun sequence.
UCCCUGGUAGUCCAGUAGUUAGGACACCAUGCCUCCAGCAUAGGUGGUGUGGGUUUGAUUCCUGUUUGGGGAA